UACGGGGGGGGUAAGCGUUGUUCGGAAUUACUGGGCGUAAAGGGCUCGUAGGCGGCCAACUAAGUCAUGCGUGAAAUCCCUCAGCUUAACUGGGGAACUGCGUGUGAUACUGGAUGGCUUGGAUUUGGGAGAGGGAUGCGGAAUUCCAGGUGUAGCGGUGAAAUGCGUAGAUAUCUGGAGGAACACCGGUGGCGAAGGCGGCAUCCUGGACCAAUAUUGACGCUGAGGAGCGAAAGCCAGGGGAGCAAACGGG
rnacentral:rRNA from 1 species